rnacentral:rRNA from 1 species
UACAGAGGGUGCAAGCGUUGUUCGGAAUUAUUGGGCGUAAAGAGCUUGUAGGCGGUUUGUCGCGUCUGCUGUGAAAUUUCGGGGCUCAACCCCGAACUUGCAGUGGGUACGGGCAGACUAGAGGUAGGUAGGGGAGAAUGGAAUUCCCGGUGUAGCGGUGAAAUGCGCAGAUAUCGGGAGGAACACCGGUGGCGAAGGCGGUUCUCUGGGCCUUACCUGACGCUGAGGAGCGAAAGCGUGGGGAGCGAACAGG